rnacentral:misc_RNA from 1 species
CUAUCCAUUUGCCUUUAUCCGUUUAUUUGCCGAUUUAUCGGUCCAUUGAAUUUAAGUGUUGGUAGCAGUUUUUAUAAUGAUGAGAAAUCAUGCUUAUAAAAGACCUCCUUAUAAAAGGCUUGUUUUUAAAAUGUGACGCUUAUCCAUUUCGCUUAGGCAAGAGAAACUUCAAGCGGUUCAAAUGCAAAAGGUUUUAAAUUUUGCAAAACAAUUUGAAUUUUAAAGUGAUUCAAGUUCGUGAUCUCGAAUUUAAAAGUUUCGAAUGCUUUAUCCUUUUUUUGGGGGC